AAGAGAUUCCUGUUACCAUGGGAGAGAAGUGUUCUCCACUCCCUCUCCUGCCACACAGACAUUAAAUGCAGGAUCUCCAGUUUGGUAUGAAGUUCAGAAAAAAGGAUAACAGCAAGCAGCAGAUGAGAUCAGCAGGCACAGUCCACAGCUGAGGUGCUGAGCUCCGUCGUAAUGAUUCCUUCAGCUCCAGUCUACCACACGAGUGUUUCAAAGAAUUCCUUUGCCUUUUAUAAUUUCUACAAAAUUCAGAAAAAGCAUCACCCAGGUAAGUUUACUGAUCCUUGAUUUAAUAAAUAGAAUGUGGAUUCCCUGCCUCAAUGACAGUGAGCUGCCACCUGACAGUAAGCAACACUUCCAUCUGAAGUCCAGCACAAGGUAUGAUAAUGCAGUCAUUGCAAUGAGAACCCUUUUGCAUUGUGCAUGGUCAUUUCAUGUCAGUGGAAAUAAAAGAUAAAUACUUCUCUCCACAUUACAAAUAACAGAAUACAUACAAUCCUUCCACACUUCUCCAUCCACUCUGUAUCAGUCACUGGUGUUAAUUAUGAUUAAUAAAUGAUUAGUAAAACUCAGUUUGGUCAAUAAUAAUCUGCUUUUGCUUUCACCAGGAAGCUCAUCUUUCCUCCAUUGCCUAUGGCUCUUUUAUUGUUCUCUGCCUCUGGUUCCAGAAAACAGUACAGCUUUGCAAAAUGCUUGGAGAUGUCUC